rnacentral:lncRNA from 1 species
CAUAGGAGGAAUAAAGCCAGCCCUCGAGGGGCGCGAUACCGGGGACAAAAGCGGACAGGACGGGCACCAACUGAUACCUGUCGCUUUGCUCUUCUUGCAUCCCGUGAACGGUAGUCGUUGCCUUGAUUUUUAAGAAAGACUGCUUAUUCUUCUUGCCAUGUACUGGCCGAAAUCACAAGUUUGCACAUGGCUUAACAUGGAUGAUUUUCAAUUGAUUAAAAAAUUUCUAAUUUGAUUUGGAUAAGAAAAAUAGAGAGAGAGAGAGAGAGAGAGAGCUUUCUAAGUAUUGCUAGGUGUUGAG